CUAUAUUAGAAUCGACAAGUGUGACCAAAGAAUACCAAGAAAAUGAAUUUAAGUAUCAUAAUAAUAGCUCUGUUUUCGAUUACUUUGGGAGUUUUUGGGGAGUGUGAGGUGGUUCUAAAUCAAAGUGACGUGAAGCGAGUUAACGUUCCAAUUGCCUGUCUCUUGGAAGCAGCGACCAAAUUUGGAAUGUGUCUUAUUCUUGCGGACGAACUGGAAGAGCUGCGAAAACCACAAGAAUCACAUGACCAAGACCUAGAGUUGAAUUUAGGAACUAAUAAAAUUAUCCGUUGUAUGGGUAAUCUCGCUUGUGCAGUUAUCAAGUGUUUCACUGGCUAACGUGCCGUGAGUGAUGCUGUGAAGAAAUCAGAUAAAUCAUAAAAUUGUAAAAUGUGCUGUAACAUUGUAGUCAAGUUAUUGAUUAAACAAAGCUUAAAUUAAA